AUGCUUUUCUCUGCCCCCAUCUGUGAGUGCAGGCGGGACCAGUACCCUGCUCUGCGGGCCCAAGAGCGACGGAACUGGCAGACCGCUCUGGUCCUCUGCUGUGCCACGGAGCGUUAUGUUUCUGCUCUGGGUUUCCUUUUCUUCAGUCAAAAUAAGAGCAGAGGGACCUGCUGGCCCUCGAGUGAGGGUGUAGGAGACGCGUCCAACCCUGGCCCAGGCCGAGUGGAGGGGGCGACCCGUGUGGUGAGCAGCCUGCUGACCACCAGCGGCAUCUACAUCGCAGCUGCCUGACCCCCGGCC
rnacentral:lncRNA from 1 species